rnacentral:rRNA from 1 species
UCUCUUGUAUACCCUGUUGCUUUGGCGGGCCCACUGGGAAUCCCCAGUCGCCGAGGGGCACUGUGCCCCUGGGCCCGUGCCCGCCAGAGCGCCCUUGAACCCUAAUGAAGAUGGACUGUCUGAGCAUGAUUGAUAAUAAUCAAAACUUUCAACAAUGGAUCUCUUGGUUCCGGCAUCGAUGAAGAACGCAGCGAAAUGCGAUAAGUAAUGUGAAUUGCAGAAUUCCGUGAAUCAUCGAAUCUUUGAACGCACAUUGCGCCCCCUGGCAUUCCGGGGGGCAUGCCUGUCCGAGCGUCAUUUCUGCCCUCAAGCACGGCUUGUGUGUUGGGUGUGGUCCCCCUGGGGACCUGCCUGAAAGGCAGUGGCGACGCCCGCCUAGGUCCUCGAGCGUAUGGGGCUUUGUCACCCGCUCGGGAAGGAUCUACGGGCGUUGGUCUUCCAUAUUUUUUUCCACGGUUGACCUCGGAUCAGGUAGGAGUUACCCGCUGAACUUAAGCAUAU